UACGUAGGUGGCAAGCGUUGUCCGGAAUUAUUGGGCGUAAAGCGCGCGCAGGCGGUUCCUUAAGUCUGAUGUGAAAGCCCACGGCUCAACCGUGGAGGGUCAUUGGAAACUGGGGAACUUGAGUGCAGGAGAGAAGAGUGGAAUUCCACGUGUAGCGGUGAAAUGCGUAGAGAUGUGGAGGAACACCAGUGGCGAAGGCGACUCUUUGGCCUGUAACUGACGCUGAGGCGCGAAAGCGUGGGGAGCAAACGGG
rnacentral:rRNA from 1 species